rnacentral:rRNA from 1 species
UAGGGUGCAAGCGUUAAUCGGAAUUACUGGGCGUAAAGCGUGCGCAGGCGGUUAUGCAAGACAGAGGUGAAAUCCCCGGGCUCAACCUGGGAACUGCCUUUGUGACUGCAUGGCUAGAGUACGGUAGAGGGGGAUGGAAUUCCGCGUGUAGCAGUGAAAUGCGUAGAUAUGCGGAGGAACACCGAUGGCGAAGGCAAUCCCCUGGACCUGUACUGACGCUCAUGCACGAAAGCGUGGGGAGCAAACAGGAUUAGAUACCCUGGUAGUCAAGGGCG